rnacentral:rRNA from 1 species
UACGGGGGGGGCAAGCGUUGUUCGGAAUUACUGGGCGUAAAGGGCGUGUAGGCGGCCAACUAAGUCCGACGUGAAAUCCCCAGGCUUAACCUGGGAACUGCGUCCGAUACUGGAUGGCUUGAGUUUGGGAGAGGGAUGCGGAAUUCCAGGUGUAGCGGUGAAAUGCGUAGAUAUCUGGAGGAACACCGGUGGCGAAGGCGGCAUCCUGGACCAACACUGACACUGAGACGCGAAAGCUAGGGUAGCAAACGGG